GUAACUUUUGCUAUUUAAGAGCCCUGGCUUUUUUCAGUGGAGGACAAAUGUGUACUGCUAUAUCUCUUAUCAUGUUUUUUUUUUCUGCAGAGGGAAAUGUUGCAUGAAGAGAGGCCAUAUGCAACGACAUGUCAAUCUGCUACCUAUUUUUAAAUAUUCACAUAACCCCCACUUAUUGGAAAGAAAGAUGUCUAUUCUGAGAAAGUGACAGUUGAAUCAGUAACCUCUGCCUCUCACAAUUACAAGAAGCUGAUGAUCAGCUGGCGGAUGGGACUGUGCAGUUGGAAGUCCCUGAGGUUUUGGAGAUGCUUCAAGCUUCCAUCUUCAGUGUGGAAACUGGUUGCUUGCCUCUGCAAAGCCCAGGCAGCAGCAGAAUCUUGAUCUAGGACACAACAUAAAUGCUUGAAUGCUAUCCUGUCGUGGAAUGAUGGUAAGUUUCUUUACCAUUAAGAAAGGAAACUGAAGAGGAAAGGACAUGUUAAGUCUUCAAAUGUAUAAAAAGCCUCUGUGAAGAGGGAAGUGG
rnacentral:lncRNA from 1 species